GUAGGUUGUUAGCCAAUUUUUCACCUAUCCUGGAGAAAUGUUGAUUAAAUAUUUCUGCUUUACCUUGAUCUGACGUAACAAUCUAGCUUUCCAUCUUCUCCUUUGAUACCGAGUAUAGGUUUCAUUGACACGUUGUUGGUGGCAUUUUUCAACAAUCUCCAGUAUGUUUUACACCUCUUAACACCUCUUAACAACGUGCCAAUUUAGAGUUAGGUUUUAGGGUUAGGAUUACG